rnacentral:rRNA from 1 species
CGCUGGCGGCGUGCUUAACACAUGCAAGUCGAACGGGAUCCAUCAAGCWUGCUUGGUGGUGAGAGUGGCGAACGGGUGAGUAAUGCGUGACCGACCUGCCCCAUACACCGGAAUAGCUCCUGGAAACGGGUGGUAAUGCCGGAUGCUCCAGUUGAUCGCAUGGUCUUCUGGGAAAGCUUUCGCGGUAUGGGAUGGGGUCGCGUCCUAUCAGCUUGACGGCGGGGUAACGGCCCACCGUGGCUUCGACGGGUAGCCGGCCUGAGAGGGCGACCGGCCACAUUGGGACUGAGAUACGGCCCAGACUCCUACGGGAGGCAGCAGUGGGGAAUAUUGCACAAUGGGCGCAAGCCUGAUGCAGCGACGCCGCGUGAGGGAUGGAGGCCUUCGGGUUGUAAACCUCUUUUAUCGGGGAGCAAGCGAGAGUGAGUUUACCCGUUGAAUAAGCACCGGCUAACUACGUGCCAGCAGCCGCGGUAAUACGUAGGGUGCAAGCGUUAUCCGGAAUUAUUGGGCGUAAAGGGCUCGUAGGCGGUUCGUCGCGUCCGGUGUGAAAGUCCAUCGCUUAACGGUGGAUCCGCGCCGGGUACGGGCGGGCUUGAGUGCGGUAGGGGAGACUGGAAUUCCCGGUGUAACGGUGGAAUGUGUAGAUAUCGGGAAGAACACCAAUGGCGAAGGCAGGUCUCUGGGCCGUUACUGACGCUGAGGAGCGAAAGCGUGNGGGAGCGAACAGGAUUAGAUACCCUGGUAGUCCACGCCGUAAACGGUGGAUGCUGGAUGUGGGGCCCGUUCCACGGGUUCCGUGUCGGAGCUAACGCGUUAAGCAUCCCGCCUGGGGAGUACGGCCG